rnacentral:pre_miRNA from 1 species
GUCCUGGGCUUGUGCUCGAGGAGUGAAUGGUGGAUUCUGACCCCCAUGCACCCCUGCAGGCCCCUGGAAUCACUGGCCUCAUCCUUCACCCCUGCCAGCCACACUUGCCCUGUGCCU